AUGACCCUGGGGUACUGGGACAUCCGUGGGCUGGCCCAUGCCAUCCGCCUGCUCCCGGAACACACAGACUUAAGAAGUACACAAUGGGGGACGGCGGGGAGACAAAAGACGAGAAGAUUCAUGUGGACAUUUUGGAGAACCAGGCUAUGGACACCUCCAAUCAGCUGGCCAGAGUCUGCUACAGACCUGACUCUGAGAAACUGAAGCCAGAAUACUUGGAGGGACUUCCUACAAUGAUGCAGCACUUCUCACAGUUCCUGGGGAAGGGGCCAUGGUUUGCUGGAGACAAGAUCACCUUUGUAGAUUUCCUUGCCUGUGAUGUCCUUGACCUCUGCUGUAUAUUUAAGCCCAAGUGCUUGGACGCCUUCCCAAACCCAAAGGACUUCAUCUCCCAAUUUGAUUUGAGGGCUUGGAGAAGAUAUCUACCUACAUGAAGUCCAGCCACUUCCUCCCAAGACCUCUGUACACAAGGGUGGUUGUCUGGGACAACAAGCAGUGCCUUGAAGGCCAAGAGGUGGAAGUGAGGAGCGCAUACUCAGCCCAGGCUGUGGUGAGCAGGUGGACUCUGCACCCGGCACCUACCUCCUUGUUCCUUUCUCCUGUUUAUUCCCUUCUUUACCCCCAUGACUUUAUUGGCCCUUUUCACUUCCCCUAAACUCCUGUCCCGUGCAGGCCAGUUAAAGCCUCAGCUACCCACUUUCCUUCAUGAACAUCCCCCUCCCAAUGUUACCCUUCCCUGCACUAAAGCCAGCCUCACCUUCCCUUCCCAUUAGUGGUUUUGUCUGCUUUCGAGGCAGGCCCCUUGCCUAUGGAGCUCAGCCCUGAGCUGUCCCAGUGCUGCAUGAAAGAGCAGCAUUGACUGAUUUACAGCUCCUGCCCCUGCCUUAGGCCUACCUGAUUAGGUCAAGCCUCA